AAGAUUGCUGACCUAAGAUUAAUGACCGAACAACUUCACUGUCGUUUCACACAUAUUAGACUUCAGUCACCAUCAGCCAUUUCAUCUCGACGUUUGCUAUGGCAGCAGAUCAUCCUGUAUCUUUAAUUCCUCUCCUCAUCAUCUGGAACACAGGGCUCAGUGCUGAGAUCUCUGUGUCUGUGCAGACUGGAGAGUCUGUUCAGCUGGAUAUACAGACACAACAACUACCAGAGUUUGAUGAUUUCUUAUGGAUUAAUGAUGAAUCAGGGAAUAUAGUUAAAUAUUCUAAUGAAUAUAAGAAGAUUAAAACUUACCCGUCCUAUCAGAACAGAAUAGAGUUUAAUGAAACAAGCUUUUCUCUGACACUGAAAAACAUGCAGAAGGCAGACGGUGGACGAUACACAGCAAGAAUAAGUGGAGAAUUAAACAAAGACAUUGUUGUUUACACAGUGUCUGUUAUAGACGCAGUGGAGGCUCCUGUUCUGACUGUAAACUCAAACAGCAGUGACUCCUGUGCUGUUAACUUCACGUGCAGAGCUCAAGACCUCAUCAUUAAAUCUACCUAUCAGAACAACCAAUGCUCACCAGAGGAAGUGACGUCACAGGAGAACUACACCCUCACCCUGUCAUUACACUGCAGUGAGGAAUCGGUCAUCUGUAACUACAGCAAUCCUGUCAGCUGGAAAAAAGACGAAAUGGAGAUUAAACCACCCUGUGGAGGGAAUGAACGAAGUGUGUUUAGUUCAACAUUUCCAUUGCUCCACAUUAUUCCUCUCACUGUGAUCUCAGUGGCGGUGAUCGGGUUUUGUGGUUUGAUUCUUUAAUUCUGCAGGCAUAAAAAGGUGUCAAACAGGCUGAAGAUUCAGACUACGAUGAUGUUGAGUCUUUGACCCAGAAGAUGACAGGAGACACAUGGACCACCAUCACCUACUGUACAGCAGGACAAAAACAAACCCCUUCAUCUGCUCAUGACUGAUGAAUAUCAGAAGAGUUAAAUAAUCAGUCAGUCACUGCAGAUCUUAUUAAAGGGAGAGUUCUCAUAGUUUACUCUCCCUCAUAUGGUCUUAAACUGGUUUUAAUCAGUGUCUAUCAUUAUUUACUCACAUUUAGUUUGAGUUUCUUUCUUCUGUUGAACACAAAAGAAGAUAUUUUGAAAAAUGCUGGUUAAUGUAUCCAUUGACUUCCAUAUAGGAAAAAAUACCAGCAUUAUUCUUUUGUGUUCAACAGAAGAAAGAAGCUCAAAUAGUUUUUGAACGAGUGAAGAGUGAGUAAAUAAUGCCAGAGAUAUCAUUUUUUGGGUGAACUAUUCAUUUAACCAGUGUUUUUUACUUCAAUCAUGUAUUUUUAAUGUGUUUUAAUCAUGUUUUGACAUGCUGUUUGAAUUAUUUUAAUACCUUUCAUUUUCAAAAGCAUUUAAUAUCACAAAUGAACUAACCUGGGUUUAUUAAACAAGUUAAAAAAUAAACGUUUUACUGAAAGCAGUUAGUCAGUUCUUCGCUGAGCUCUAUAAUAGCCAUCUAUUAGUAUUCUUACUGAUGGCAUCUUUGUGGUAUGGCUGAUUAUUCCACUGGAAGUCACCCUUAUUAGAUGGGUUCACUGCGCUCAUGAAAGUAAUGCUCAGUCAAUUUGGUCAUUUAAAAUGUGAAAUAAAAAAACCCUCACAGCAUUUCACCAUCAGCAGCCUGAACACCUGAUAUAAGGCAGGGUGAUCCAUGCUUUCAUGAGAUUUACAUCAAAUUCUGACACGACCAUCCAGAUAUUGCACAUGAAAUGGAGAAAUUACAGCUAGCUACAUUUGUCCAGCAGGGGAAUAACAGUGAACUGAGCUGGUGAGAAAGUGCUUUUGCACACAUAUCUAACGUCCUGUUACUAUAAACACAUCAUCAGUCAUCUUGAUGUUUGUUACAAUGGCAGUGGAUUAUCUGCUUGUGUCCUUC